GGCGUGCGAUACAGGGUGACAGCCCCGUACACAAAAAUGCACAUAUUGUGAGCUCGAUGAGUAGGGCGGGACACGUGGUAUCCUGUCUGAAUAUGGGGGGACCAUCCUCCAAGGCUAAAUACUCCUGACUGACCGAUAGUGAACCAGUACCGUGAGGGAAAGGCGAAAAGAACCCCGGCGAGGGGAGUGAAAAAGAACCUGAAACCGUGUACGUACAAGCAGUGGGAGCACGCUUAGGCGUGUGACUGCGUACCUUUUGUAUAAUGGGUCAGCGACUUAUAUUCUGUAGCAAGGUUAACCGAAUAGGGGAGCCGAAGGGAAACCGAGUCUUAACUGGGCGUUAAGUUGCAGGGUAUAGACCCGAAACCCGGUGAUCUAGCCAUGGGCAGGUUGAAGGUUGGGUAACACUAACUGGAGGACCGAACCGACUAAUGUUGAAAAAUUAGCGGAUGACUUGUGGCUGGGGGUGAAAGGCCAAUCAAACCGGGAGAUAGCUGGUUCUCCCCGAAAGCUAUUUAGGUAGCGCCUCGUGAAUUCAUCUCCGGGGGUAGAGCACUGUUUCGGCAAGGGGGUCAUCCCGACUUACCAACCCGAUGCAAACUGCGAAUACCGGAGAAUGUUAUCACGGGAGACACACGGCGGGUGCUAACGUCCGUCGUGAAGAGGGAAACAACCCAGACCGCCAGCUAAGGUCCCAAAGUCAUGGUUAAGUGGGAAACGAUGUGGGAAGGCCCAGACAGCCAGGAUGUUGGCUUAGAAGCAGCCAUCAUUUAAAGAAAGCGUAAUAGCUCACUGGUCGAGUCGGCCUGCGCGGAAGAUGUAACGGGGCUAAACCAUGCACCGAAGCUGCGGCAGCGACGCUGAUGCGUUGUUGGGUAGGGGAGCGUUCUGUAAGCCUGCGAAGGUGUGCUGUGAGGCAUGCUGGAGGUAUCAGAAGUGCGAAUGCUGACAUAAGUAACGAUAAAGCGGGUGAAAAGCCCGCUCGCCGGAAGACCAAGGGUUCCUGUCCAACGUUAAUCGGGGC
rnacentral:rRNA from 1 species